CCUACGGGAGGCAGCAGUGGGGAAUAUUGCACAAUGGGGGGAACCCUGAUGCAGCAACGCCGCGUGGGUGAAGAAGUACUUCGGUAUGUAAAGCCCUGUCAGCAGGGAAGAAAAUGACGGUACCUGACCAAGAAGCCCCGGCUAACUACGGGCCAGCAGCCGGGUUAAUACGUAGGGGGCAAGCGUUAUCCGGAUUUACUGGGGGUAAAGGGAGCGUAGACGGGAAGGCAAGGCUGGAGGGAAAGCCCGUGGCUCAAACACGGGACUGCUUUGGAAACUGGGUUGCUGGAGUGCAGGAGGGGUAAGCGGAAUGCCUAGUGUAGCGGUGAAAUGCGUAGAUAUUAGGAGGAACACCGGUGGCGAAGGCAGCUUACUGGACUGUAACUGACGUUGAGGCUCGAAGGCGUGGGGAGCAAACAGGAUUAGAUACCCCAGUAGUC
rnacentral:rRNA from 1 species